rnacentral:rRNA from 1 species
AACCCUUGUCCUUAGUUACCAGCACGUUAUGGUGGGCACUCUAAGGAGGACUGCCGGUGACAAACCGGAGGAAAGUGGGGGAUGACGUCAAGUCAUCAUGGCCCUUACGGCCUGGGCUACACACGUGCUACAAUGGUCGGUACAAAGGGUUGCCAAGCCGCGAGGUGGAGCUAAUCCCAUAAAACCGAUCGUAGUCCGGAUCGCAGUCUGCAACUCGACUGCGUGAAGUCGGAAUCGCUAGUAAUCGUGAAUCAGAAUGUCACGGUGAAUACGUUCCCGGGCCUU